rnacentral:ncRNA from 1 species
UACCUGGUUGAUCCUGCCAGUAGUCAUAUGCUUGUCUCAAAGAUUAAGCCAUGCAAGUCUAAGUACGAGCUCUCGUACAGUGAAACUGCGAAUGGCUCAUUAAAUCAGUUAUGGUUCAUUUGAUCGUACAGUUUACUGGGAUAACUGUGGUAAUUCUAGAGCUAAUACAUGGGAGAAGCGCCGACCUCGCGGGAGGGGUGCAUUUAUCAGACCAAAAACCGGCCGGGUCUUCGGGGAUGUUCAGCCUUGGUGACUCUGGAUAACUUUGCGGAUG